rnacentral:lncRNA from 1 species
AUUUUCGAUUUAUGGAUUCUUCCUUCAUGAAAAGAUGGCCAAACAACCCAUUGUGGGACAUGGGGUGAGGACCACUAAUGUACUUGUCCUGAUACAUUUUGAUGUAUGCAGCUCAUUUGAUGAGCUGGACAAAGGGUGAUUCUCUUUACUUUAUUAUUUAUAUUGGUGACUGUUCAUAGUAUGGGUAUAUGUAUGAGACAUAAAUCUGAAAUCUUAAAAAAUUUAAAAAAUUCAAAUAUGAAGUAAAGAAAUAAAUUGAAAAGCUCUUAGAGUUUUUU